AGGACAUUUUGCCAGUUAACAACUUUUUUGUAGCACAAACGGUUGUGGAGUUAUGUGCCUUUAAAGUUUGGCCGAGAGGAGAGCCUGCGAUGCCGAUUCAUCUUUAAAGGCGCAUAACUCAUGAACCGCUAGUGCAACAAAA
ensembl:ncRNA Y119D3B.23 ncRNA